ACUCAAAUGAAUUGACGGGGACCCGCACAAGCGGUGGAGCAUGUGGAUUAAUUCGAUACUAACCGAAGAACCUUACCCAGACUUGACAUCGAUCGCAAAGUCCAGAAAUGGGCUCCUCUCCCACAAGGAGACGUGAAGACACUUGUUGCAUGGCUGUCGUCAGCUCGUGCCGUGAGGUGUACGGUUAAGUCCGCCAACGAGCGCAACCCUCGUCCUGUGUUACCAGCAUGAAAGAUGGGGACUCACAGGAGACCGCCGGUGUAAAUCGGAGGAAGGUGGGGAUGACGUCAAGUCAGCAUGGCAGUUACGUCUGGGGCUUCACACAUGCUACAAUGGGCGAAACAGAGGGCAGCAACACCGCGAGGUAGAGCCAAUCCCAAAAAUACGCCCCCAGUUCAGAUUGCAGUCUGCAACUCGACUGCAUGAAGGCGGAAUCGCUAGUAAACGCAGGUCAGCUAUACUGCGUUGAAUACGUUCCCGGGUCUUGUACACACCGCCCGU
rnacentral:rRNA from 1 species